UUAAUACUCCCUCCGUCCGAAAAAGCUUGUCCCAAGCUUGUCCCUCAAAUGGAUGUAUCUAGCACUAACUUGGUGCUAGAUACAUCCAUUUGAGGGACAAGUUUUUUCGGACAGAGGAAGUAGUCA
rnacentral:pre_miRNA from 1 species